AGAUUGAAAUUUGAAAUGAUGUACAUUUCACUGGAAUCGGAGUUACCAUACCAACGAAAUAGUGACGUCACGGUUUUUAAUUAGCAGCAAUUUUAUGCCUUAUUCGAUCCCAACUCGAACGAGAGUAACCACAUAGUGAUAACUGCCUCAAAGUAAGGAAAUUGCAUAUAUGCAUGCAGGAAUGCUCAAACACGUGAACACGAAAACAACAAUAUAGAGCCGAGAACCUUGAGCGCACAGCUACGAAGAAUAACAUGACGGCUCACUAAUGCCUAGAAAAAGUGCAAGAUGCAAAGCAGAUGGAGUUAUCCAAUAACGUUAGGACUAGGCCCCUACGUAGUCACUAUGCGUGUCCUCCGUGAAGUAAAACAUUGACGCUGGACAAAAGACAAAACAAGCACAAGCAAUGAGUAAACGCAGAAAAAGCCAUCCUUGAAACGAUGCUAGACUUUGAAUAUGCCAGAACUUAAUGUAACCCUAUGACCUUUCUAAUUUAACGAGUCUGCGUCACACGUAGACAUUAAUAAUAGGACUGCAUAUAAAAGUAGGAGAAGUAGGCCCAUAAAAGUACUAGUAGUGGAAGUUACUGUAAAAUCUCAGUUAUAGGCCGCCCUUCCCCUUAGUUACAAGCCCUCUCAGUUAUAAGCCCAUAAAGACAGACAGAUAGACAGACAGACAGACGGACAGACGGACAGACAGACGGACAGACAGACGGGCAGACAGACGAACAGACAGACGGACAGACGGACAGACAGACUAUAGUGCUAUAAUUUUCUUAAGUGUAUGACGCUUCUUUACAUGAGAGUAGUACAAUAAAAAUCCUAUUUACAAACAA